UUCACGUACACAUACAAAGAGAGAGAGAGAGAGAGAAGGGGUGCCGGAGGGAGCGAUUCAACAUCGGAGGAUGCAAUUCAAGCGUCGGAGCGUGCAAUUCAGUCACGGAUCGACGGCAAUGAGGUGGAGUUCUAGACCCAGGUACGCAAUACACCUCUCUCUCUUCGAUUUAUUUGUUUAUUUAUUUAUUUAUUUUUUUAAUUAUUUUUUCGUGGUUGUUACUUUGUCUGUGGAAGGGGAUAAGGAGUGGCGAAAUGGUCUGAAACCUUCCUGAUAACGCCGGAUAACUUUUGGAAAGGGUGAAGGCUGCCCAAAAAUUAUCCGAGACUAUCCGCUCGCUGAGGGAAAUAGAAGCAGAGAGAAAGGGUUAUCAGAGAAAUUUUUCUCCAUCCGAAUAGAGGAAGUAAGAGCGGAAGAAAAGUUAUACAACAGGCUCAUGAGGGUAAAGACCCCCGUUUUAUACCACGCACUUAACAAAAUAAAAUCUGGAGAAGAGAGAAAGAGAGAGAUUUUAUUUAUCAUGCUUUGUCGUGGCUCUACACCAGCCGUGGCUCAUUCAAUUCUUCAAUGUAUGGGCAAGUGUUAACAUAUAUCUUUAUCUUAAUUUCGUCGUGGAUAAAAGUAUUGUUUUUUAAGUUUUAAAAUUUAAAUUGAUACAUUUUUCAAAAGUCAUGAGUUCUUGGUUUUUGUUUUUUAUUUAUUUAUCUAUUUCUAUAAAGAGUCAUUCCUAUUAAAAGUUGAGAAUUUUAGGGGAGUCAUGGAUUUAUUCAUCAUCAAUAGGCCUGUGAAGUAUACAUAGAUAUAACCACUAACGGUGACUGAGGAUCCG
rnacentral:lncRNA from 1 species